rnacentral:rRNA from 1 species
UACGAGUGCCUCAAGCGUUAUCCGGAAUCAUUGGGCGUAAAGGGUUUGUAGGUGGUCAUGUUAGUCUUCUGUUAAAUAUCCCGGCUUAACCGGGAAAAUGCGGAGGAAACGGCACGACUAGAGGAUGCAAGGGGUCUGCGGAACUCAUAGUGUAGCGGUGAAAUGCGUUGAUAUUAUGGGGAACACCAAAAGCGAAGGCAGCAGACUGGGGCACUCCUGACACUGAAAAACGAAAGCGUGGGUAGCGAAUGGG